rnacentral:rRNA from 1 species
UACAUGUGGGGCAAGCGUUGUUCGGAAUUACUGGGCAUAAAGGGUGCGUAGGCGGCUUGUUAAGUCAGGGGUGAAAGUUUUCGGCCCAACCGGAAAAUUGCCUUUGAUACUGGCGAGCUCGAGUGCGUGAGGGGUAACCGGAACGAGUGGUGUAGCGGUGAAAUGCGUAGAUAUCACUCGGAAGGCCAAAGGCGAAGGCAGGUUACUGGUACGCAACUGACGCUGAGGCACGAAAGCGUGGGGAGCGAACAGG